AGAUCUCUCUCUUGCUUAGCAAUUGUGAAAGGUGGAUAUUAUUAUCAUCCUUGUCUCACUAAGGAAGAACUGAGGCUCUAAGAGGUUAAAUGACUUGCUUGAACACCUGGUUGGCGGUGGCAAAGGUAGAAAUCCAGUGCACAGAUCUUCUAAGUCUACAUUGACUGCCUAGCCCAGCCGUCUAACUGGAAGUGAGUUCAAGGACCUGGAGGAAACAGAUGUAAACCAGGAAUCAUAGAACUCGGCUACUGGAACCAAAGAGAGGAAUCAUCUAGAAUCCUUCUAGCCUGGCCCACAGGAAGCUUAGGCAACCAAUUUUGGACCUGUUUGAAACCAACUUCCCUAUAUCAGAAACAGGAAAAGAAAGAAGUUACACUCUGCCUCAUGAGCCAACCGGAGAACUGAGCUCAGCAUCUUGCCUUAUUGGUGCACAUUCUAUUCACAUAAUGAAGUUCUUUCAUUUUCUGCUUGGAGAGACCUGCUGACCUCACACCUGAAUGAGGCGAUGUCGUCCUCCCUUCCAGUCUCUCAGAACCCAGCCACCAUCUUGUGAGGAAGCUUCCCACGUGGAGAGGGCCUAAGGACUUCUGACAGCAGCCAAAACCGACUUACCAGCUCUGUGAGCGAACCACCUUGGAAGUCUGUCCUCCAGACCAAGUGAAGCCUUCAGAUGACUGUAGUCACACCUAACAUCUGACUAUGACCUCACGAGGGACCCCUAACCAGAACCACUCGGCUAAACUACUGCCGGAUUCACAACCCACAGAAACCAUGAAAGACAUAAAUGGUCAUUGCCAUCUUAACCCGCUAAGUUUUGCAGUGAUUUUUUUUAUGCAGCUUUAGAGAACAAAGGAGAGGAGUGCAACAGAAAGGGGCCAUCCCAGAACCCUCAAAGGUGUGGGGCCUAGGACAGGGCCUCUUUUGCCUGGAUUUAGGGCCGUACUGAGGAAAGGAUAUGGAUUUUAUUUCAGUAGCUGGGUAUUUCCUAGGGAGGGAUGAGCUUAUUUAUACAAAAGAGGAACUUGCAGGACUGAGCAGGUGUUGGAGAUCAGGAAAUUUUUUUAUAAAAGCUGUAACAAAGCAGCCCUUUAUCUGGAGUAUACAAAGAAAUGAAAAUCUAAUGAGACCAUUUAUUUGCUUGAUUGUGUAAACACACAAAAAUGUACACAUCUUGGAAUAGUCACAGCGGAAGGAGAUCUGCUUAAGCCAGUGAUGCCGUCUGUCACUUUUCAAAAAUGCCUGUGAAACUUCUCUUUCGGAAUUGCCCACAAAGCUGGAUUAUGAGCUUCCCAUGAAACCAGACUCAUCACUCAAGCUGCGACUUGGUUUGUGACCCCAGACAGCAUUUCCCAGCUUGAUCACCCAACCUACUCAGCAGACUUUGCUCUGAAUGACUUAGAACUGUUUCCAAAACUCACACCCGCCCUUGGAGGAUACAUGCUGUCAGACUUAUCUUUCUGCCACACCUCGGAUCAUGCGCUUCAGUGCCUCUCGGCUGCAUAGAGAAUUAAGCUCCAACAUGUCAGCUAGAUUUUCAGAACUUUAUACAACAUGCAGCCCCCACCUAGCUUUGCAGUUCUAUCAUCCCAGAACACACGAUGCCCUCUCUACUUACUGAUGAUAGGUACCAUUUACUGAGCCCUUAUUAUGUGCCCCACACUGUGCUAAGAGCUUAAUAUAAUCUCUCAUUUUGUCCUUAUAUGACUUUGUAAGAUAAAUGUUAUCUCUAUAGUAUAAAUAAUAAUAAAACAGGGGUCACUAACACUUUGUACAGCAGUUACAAUGUGCUAAACCACCGUCCAAUAGAAAUAUGAGCCAUAUUUGUCAUUUUAAUUUUCUAAUUGCCACACUAAAAAAGUAAAAACUAGGUGAAAUUGAUUUUAAUAAAGUAUUUUAUCAAUGAGCAUUUAAUCAAUAUAAAAACUUUUUAAUGAUAUAUAUCAUAUUCUUUUUUUGUGUGUAUUAAAUCUUUGAAAUCCAUUGUGUAUUUUACACCUACAGCACGUCUCAAUUUGGACACUAAAUUUUUAUUGGAAAUACUUGAUCUAUAUUUAAAUAUUGUAAAAAGUACAGUGAAAAAAGUAGAUUCACAUACCCAAGUUGUUCCAAACAUGCUUAAAAGAUUUCCAAUACCUGAAUCAAGUACCAAAUAAUCAUUUUUUUCUAUGCUUAUCCCUAUUGACAAAACUGAUUCAAUUUUAAACUUUUAACUUCACUUUCAAUCAAUUAAAAUUAAAUAAAAUUAAAAAUUUAGUUUCUCAGUUGCACUAGCCACUUACCAAGUGCUCAUGUGGUUAGUGGCUGCCAUGUUGGGCAAUGCAACUCUAGGCACUUUACUACUGUCAACACAAACGUUUGAGGUAGCUUCAUUUUACAGAUAAAGAAAUAGAGGCAUAGAGAAGUAGUAACUUGCACUAGUAUACACAGUUAAUAAGCCGAUGUUCAGAAUGGUUGAUUUACCUUAGCUAGUAAAGGUUGGAAACAGGAUUUGAACUCAGGAUUGUUUGUGUCCAAAGUCUAAAUUCUUAUCCACUGUGCUAGUCUGCUCUACAGACUUAAUUUCUCACUAUUCUCCUAAAAUCCUUACUUUCUUGAUUCUGGUCUUUUUAUCAGAUUGUUUCCUCUGUCUAGAAUGCCAUGGAAGGCCCAUUUUGAAUGUUAUUCAUUCAUUCAGACAGUCAUUCAGUCAAUCACUUUUUCAACAAAUAUUGCCAGCCGUGUUUCAAAUAUCUCCCACGUAAAAUACAGCCGUGAUCAAGACAGACGUCCCCCCUGCCCGCACAGAGCUUCAAUUCUGCCGUAACGCUUCUCACACUUCGGUCUCAGGAUUCUGUAACACUCUGAACGUUAUUGAGGACCCGAAGGGCUUUUGAUUAUGUGAGUUAUAGCUGCCAAUCUUUAUUGUACUAGAAAUUAAAACUAGGAAAUUGUAAAAAUAUUCAUUCAUUCAAAAAUAACAUGAUGAACACAUUACAUGUAAACAUAAAUAAUGUAUAGCUGAAAAGACAACUAUAUUUUCCAGAACAAAAAAUAAGAGUAGCAUUGUUUUAUAAUUUUGCUAAUCUCUUUAAUGUGUGACCUAAUAAAAGGCAGCUGGGUUCUCAUCUCUGCUUUUGUCUUUAAUCUGUUGCAAUUUGUCAUUUUGGUUGAAGUAUAUAAGAAAAUCUUGCCUCACUAAGAUAUAUAAUUGGAAAACAGAGGAGUAUCUUAAAUGCUUUUUCAGAUAAUUGCGGAAAUUCUUCUUUGUUACUAUACCAAAAAUCAACAAGUGCUAAUUUCUUUAAAGUUAGCUACAAUGUGGAAUCUGAAACCAUAUCAAUGGUAAAUAUAUGAAAUAAGCUUUUCAUAUGUUAAAAUUACAUUAAAACUCCUUAGUCCAUCUUUCACUUUCCAUGGAUCCUACAUAUGAUUUGUAACAACAUGCUUUGUUUAUUUGGAAGACAUU
ensembl:lncRNA